CGCCUCACGCCCGCCACCUGGCAGAGCUGUUGAUUGCGAGGGAGGGAGAAGAGGUGUGCACCCCGGGAAGGCGGAACCCCAGGGGAGAGCGGAAGAAUCGUUGCAUUAGUUGAUGAAUUCAUUUCUUCCACUCAUCGUAGUGCAAGGCUCUGCGGCGUUUACCCAGAAGACUACCUUGUCCCUAUCCCAGAGGACCCAAAAGAGACUGGAGAGAAGAGACGCUGCUUUCAGAAUGUCGCCAAAAAAGCUGACACUUAAUGGGCACCUCAUGUUUAAGGGCUUUGUCACUCGAUAUAAAUUCCUGCUCCUCUCUCCAACAACGUUUCAAGAUGGGUAUAAAAACCCACUUCACAGGUGAGGAAACUGAAGUUCAGAGACCUUCUCCAGGAGCCAGGGGAAAUCUGCCUGUGAAAAUUCAAGCGAAAAAACAAAUGAAAGGGAUUUUGAGGCAUUACAAAAGUUUUAUUCCUUUUACAAAAGAAUUCAGUUAUUGACUCCUUUAAGUUUUGAGUGAUUCUAGAAUUUUCAUGGUACGGUUUCCCUUCUCUGAUUUACCCCACAACUUCAGGAGCGCCCCUGUCAGGGCUUUGCUGGCGAGUGGCUGGUUGCUCAGUCUGCAGGAGCCUGUAGCCGCAGCUUGGGCCUCAUUCGCUGAUUCCAAAAGUUCCUGUGAGAAGGCCCAAAGAGAGAUGUCAGAGCCAGAGGGAACUUAGAUUCUCUCAGCCAAGUCUCUUCUUAUGUAGGUAUGGAAAUUGAGACCCAGAGAGGUGAAGUGACCGGCCUGAGGUCACACAGCUGGUUAGUGAUGGGAGGUGACACUUACUUUUGCCCCACACUCCUUCUGCCGUUCUGGCCUGCUCAGCAUGGUAAAGGAGAUGGCUCCCCCCAGUCAUCUGUGGCCCAUGGGUGUUCUAGGAGUGAUGGCAGUCACCUCCUACUUGAUGGAGCGAACGGCAGUGUUGUUGCUGCCACAGUUUACAUGCUCCGGGACACGCACAGCCAGUCUGUACGUACCCUCUGCCGGGAGUCCGACUUCCCUGGUGCCGAGUGGCGAAACCCAGCGAGCAGCCUCUCCCUGUCUCACCACUGCUGCGCAUUAAGGGGUCAGUUUACAUUUAAUUCAAGUUUGGCAUUUCUGAGCUGAGGUGGCCUUGCUUUGGCUUUCUGAAAAAAGCAUGCAGCCCUGGCCUAGGAGUCUGAGUUUCAUAUAGUAGGUUCCAGUACCAGAGGGAGCUGGCUAGUACUUUCUGGUCUUUCUGAACUGAACAUAAAAUCUGCAUGUUUCCUUCUUCUUUGUUCCUUUUUCAGAAGUGUAUAGUUCCUCAGAUUCUGAGGAGGGGAGGCUGGGAGAGAGGAGGCCCAUACAGAACAGGGGGCCCUCCCCUUCAGCACUUUCGCAGCCUCUGUGCUCCCCCAUCCUCAGGGAGCUGUUGCAGCUCCAUCCUUGGCGCUGAGGAUGAAGUGAGAAGGGGCCUGGGAACUGCCCGGCUCGGUGUCUGGCACACAGCAGCCCUCCCUGUAAACGCCGGCUAUUACUGUUACAAUAGCUGCUGUUAUUCUCCUGACUUCCAAGUUCUCUGCACCCCCCCAUGGACCACUUCCUGUGAACACAGGGACCUGGAGAAGAGGGGAUGGGAGAGUGGGAUAGAAGUGAGGGGGCGUGAAGGUUAGUGAGGGAAACAGAGCAGCCCACUUGCUCAGCAUGCAGGCUCAGCACCUCCUCCCUGCCUGCGACGUCCUUCCCGCUCUCUGACUCUGGAGCACCGCCAGCCCCCAGGCGCCCCCUCCCUGGCUCUGCACAGCCACUGCGUCUACUGCCUGGGGUUGCACCGCUCUUCUCACAGCUGCCUUCUCGGAGCCGACGUGCGCUCUCGGCUGCUGAGACUCUGUGAUGUCAGGCACUUGACACCCACUGCCUCUUCUGACUUUCACGUUGACCUUAUGCAGUAGCUGUGUUCCCAUUGUGCUGGAUGAGGACACGAUGUUCACAGGAGUUAAGUGACUUGUCCAAGGUCAUCCGUGGAGUGACAGUGCAGAGAGCCGGGCUCGGGGCUGCUGACCCCCAGCACCUGCUCUGGCGCUGCUGCUGCUGGCACUGCAGGAAGACGUGCUCACAGACCUCCAACUGGCAAUGCAGCUGACGGACAGGGCCGUCUCCUUUUCUUAUGCGUACGUUACUGUUUUCCAGGUUUUUUUCAAUGAGCCUGCAUUACUUGUGUAAUUGAAAAUAACAUUGAUGAUCACUGACAGCGUAGGUGCUUACCAAGCACUGGACAGGUGUCAUCUCAUUGAUUCCUCAUGCGAGCCUAGGUGAGGAGCCUUUGAGCAACAUCCUUGCUUUCCAGAGGAGGAACCAAGCUGUCGGAAGUGAGAGCACUGACCCACUGUUGUACGGUCAAUAGUGGCGGCAGAGCGGGCUUGGGUCCAAGACGGCCCAACAGAGCUUAUUGCUUCCAAGUGGAAAUGAAACUCUGUCUUAGGAAUAAAAGAAGCAUUCCAUUUAAUAUGAAAUGUCCAGAAUAGGCAAAUCCAUAGAGACAGAAAGCAGAUUAGUGGUUGCCAGGGGCUGGGGUGGGGGGUGAUGGAUGGGGAGUGACUGCUCAUGGGUAUGGGGUUUCCUUUUGGGUGAUGAAAUGUUCUGGAACUAGAUAGUGGUGAUGGUUGCACGACAUUGUGAAUGUCCUAAAUGUCAAAAACGGUAAAUUUUAUAUUUGUGUUUUACCACAAUUUAAAAAAUGUAGAAAAAAGGCAAGAAGAGGAAAAACUAUUACUAAUCAUUUCCAGGGGCAGUUACAUUUUGGAAGCUCUUUUCAAGAAGGAAUACAAUUUCGUGAAUAACAAAGAAGAAGAAGACCACAGGGAUGGGAAUCCCGAGGGCCUGGAAUGGGAAUCAGAGGGCCUUCAGGAUUAGCUCUUCUGCCUAAGGGUCUGUGGGUUGAAGCCACACCAUCUAAGGGUCACAGUGGGCUGAAGGCUGAGUGCUUUAUGUGGAUGGUUCAUCGAAUGCUCGUUGUAACCCGGGGCAGAGUUACUUUUAUCACGCUCAUUGCGUGGAUGAGAAAGCUGAGGUGUAGAGAGGGCUGAAGGACGUGCCCAGCAUCACGAUGCCUGUAAAUGGCAAAGCUGGGCUUUGAUCUCAGGUGGCCUGACCUCCUGGCCCACCAUUUUACCUGCAGCUGUUAUAAAUCUGUGUGUCCUGUGCAUCACCCGUGCGUGUGGCACUGUCCAAUUUCACUCAGUGGAAAUAGUGCUGUCGUUAUCCUUCCCGCUUUCAUCAGUGAUAACUUGUCCAAUGGGAUACAUGCUUCAGAUACACUGAGGUUGAUGAAACUGCUGAAUGUGGGAACCCCAGCAAGGCUAUGCCAGGUGAUGGCAAAUCAGGUUCAAAUUCACCUGUGCCCUGAAGGUGGCAUUUGGUGGGGAGCAGCAGAGGAGAUGUGAGCUCCUUGCCUGUUCCACCCAGUGGAGAGCCCGCUGGGCCUCCUUCUGUGGUCCUGUCUCUGGUGGGCGUGGUGGCUGCUGCCCCCGCACCCCCCGGGCUGUGGCAUAGUGGCCCACACUGUGGUGGCCGCUGCAGCUGUCCAGGAAAGGCCAACAGGAAAAUAGCUCUACCAUGGUGGAAGGAGAAGAGCAUGUAAAGAUUGAAAAACAAAAUAAAAAGCCAAACCAACAAUCCUCUGCCAUAGAUAUUCUUUAAAGUCCGGGUGGGGCUGGAGUUAUGCUGUGUGUGUGAAGAGACACCAGUGUAAGCCACUGUCGAUUUCAUCAUUCAGGCUCUGCUUGGAUAAAUAACAACAAAAACAGCAAUAAUCACCCAAUGCUCUGCGGGUGCCUGCUCUCCACAUAAGAGUUGGGGGCAGAAGCACGAAGUCUCGGAUCCUGAAACUUCAGAAGACACAGAGAGUAAGUCUCAGCCACCCCCUGUUACUGCCACUGUUGACUCCAGGGCCACCUGCCACCAUUUCCUCUGCUCUGCUCAAGCCCCCGCUUCCUCUGUCCCCAGUCUGAUCAGCUGAUGGCUCUGUCAGUGCCCUCCCCUCUCCUGCCGGCUCCCUGUCUGUGCCCUGGGUCAGGGCUGGGUUGUCUCCUGCCUGGACUUUCGAAAACCUCUCUGGGUUUCCUGCUGUGGGACUCGUCCGUCUUUCUUAAGCCACCAGCUGCUGCGCCGCCAGAGUGAACCUGCUGAAGCACAGGUUGCGCCAACUCUCUCCUCGUUCCAAAUCCUGCAGUGGCUCCUCUCUCACUCCCAGAAUAAAGCAGACACUCCCCAGCCUGGCAUUCAGUGCACGUGGGCAUCUGGUUUCCUCCAACCUUCCAUUCAUUACUUGUUCAACACAUAUUCCUCCAUGUGCCAGGCAGUGGAAUUGCCUCUGUGGGCACAUGAAGACAAAGUCCUGGGUCCUUCUCUCAAGGACCUUCCAGAGUAGUGGGCUCCGCAGCCAGAGUGCUGUGGAACUACAUGACGUGAGCCCCUAAUCCAGUCCCAGAUAGUCCGUGAAGGCUUCCUUGAAAAACAACUUGUCGAAAGUCACUAGAUGUCACUUGAAGAAGGCAAAGGAGGGAGCCAGAUAAAGAUGGGUGGAUGUGGGGUGGACAGGGAAAUGGAGAGAGUGAUGAUGGUGAGAGGCCCAGAGAUGAAAGAACAGGAGCAGGUCCAUAUGACUAUAGCCCGAGAGGAAAGUGACAACAUGAAUGAGUGGGUCCAGAUUACAAAAAGCUUGAGAAACCUGUCAGAGAGUUCACACUUAAUCCUGAGAGCAACGGCAGGCCAGUGAAGCAUUUAAGCAGAAGAGUAGUAUGAACAGAUUUGCGUUUUAGAAGGAUGAUUCUGUGCCAGUUUGUAGGAAUGGUUAGAAAGGGGGAGAGAGGCGGGAGAUGAGUCAGGAAGCACUUUGAGGAGUCCAGGCAAGAAGUGAUCAUGACGUUGGGGUGGAUGGAAGUGGACAGAUGUGAGGAGACAUUUGACAUAUUGAGUGGGCAGGUCUUGGCAGUUAUUUGAGGUAGAGGAUGAGAGAGAGGGAGGUGACAAGCCCAUUUCACAGGUUUCUGGCUGGGGCAACUGUGUGGACGCUGUACCAUUACCUGGGACGGGUAGGUCCCAGGUAGGAUGAGCAGGUCUCAAGUCUGGGUGUGGGUGAGGGUGUGAGAGACUGUGAGCUCAGCUUCGGCCAUAUUGAAAUUCAGUGUCUAUGACACACACAAGGAGAAAUGUCACUGUGAUUGAGGAAACACAGAAAGCUGAAGACAGAACCUGAAGAACACCAGCAUUGAAGGGUGGGCUGGGAAGGAGAGCCUGCGACAGAGGCACAGAGGGAGGAGGCGUAGAGGCAGGGGGAAACUGGGGGAAGUGGGUCCUAAUAGGACGCCAAGGAAAAUAAGGGCAGAAGAGAGCUCAAUGGCUGUCUUGAGCAAGGAGGUUGUUGAUGACCUUGGCAGGAGAAGUUUCUGAGGAGUUGGUGUUGGUGGGAGAGAAGCCAGAAUGCAGUGGGUUGAGAAGUCAUCUGAGGUGAGACACUGGAAACAGUAAGUGAAGAUGACUUCUGCCAAGAACUUCAGCCGAGAAUGGGGGAGAAAAAGCAAGGACUGAGUCAGGGUAGGAAACAUCUUCAAAAGGGGUUUCUUUCUUUCCUUCCUCCCCUCCCUCCCUCCCUUCCUCUUUCUCGUCCUCCCUUGCUUCCUCAAUAGGGGAAUCCUGAAUGCUUCACACUGGGAAGAUGCCUGUGGAGCAGGUGCAGGCAAAGACCCAGGAGGGGGAGGGAAUGAUCCAUAGAGAGGGCUGUUGGGGAGGCAAUCGGAGCCUGGGUAGAGAGGUGGCCCCGGGGAGGAGACAGCUCCCUUUCACGGUGGCGGAGAGCAGGACUGGGCGUCAGGGCGGAUUAGCCUGGGGUUUGGGGCCAGGAGUCGGGGACGCCAUCAGCUCAUCCUUUCCGUCCUUGCUUUGAAUUGCUCCUGAGCAAAAGGGGCUACACACACCCCUUCGCACGUGUGUCCGACUUUUCUCCACUUCACGGCACUUGCUCAGUGCUUUCCUCUUUUUCACAUGCCCUUCAUUCUAUCUUUACGUGGAGAGGUGUAUCCAGAUUCUGUGGGGCCUGACGUGCACACAGUUUGGGACAGCCUCUUUAAGAAAAAGAAUGCUAAAAUAUAUUACUUUGGCAAAUUUUAUAAAAAUAUAUGAAAAUGUGAACAUAUUUCUAUGGCUCCUCCUAGGAGCUUGCAAGGAACCCAUGCAAGCUAGAGUCCCUGAAGAUGGAGCUUCUUCAGCUUCCUGUUAAAUCCUCCUUGAUUUAAAUGUUCAAAUCUAUUCAAACUUCAAAGUUGAACAAAGAAUUUGAGUAACAACAACAACAAAACAAAGCAAAGAGCCCCCAAACAAAGAAACAAAAAGCUUCUUCCAUGAAGCCCCCAGUGGGAGGAAGUGGGGAGAGCCUUGGUUCCUCCUCUGUCACAGGGGGCUCGGGGCAUCUGCCUCCUGUUUGUGAAGAUUGAAUAAGGUAACAGAUGGGAGUGAACCGGAGUAGUUCCUUUCCCAUGAUUGGUGCUUAAUAAACGUUUGCUGAAGAAAUAAAAUAAUGCAUGAACUUGGCUCCCUCUUCCCACUUUGACCUGCAUGUUACUUCUGGUGGGCUCAUCUUAAUCUUCCUGAGAGGCUCUGAAUACCUUGUGUGUAUCUUGCUAUUUUGAGUCCUUUACAAGGCCUAUCAGGGUGUCUUGAGUGUAGUGAGCAUUCAAUACAUUUAUGGGACGAAUGGACUCAUAAAUGAACCGGGGUGUAUGAAUCUCUGCUUUAAGAAGGAAGUUCAUGGUCAGCAGAUUGCUUAGCGCUCCACCUAAAUGAGUUUUCUGGUUGAAGCUGUCAAUUCUUGGUGCCCACACUGGUGAUCACUUAACAAAAGAACAGGAAGGACUGGCUCCUGGCGGACAACACACAUUUGGCUGAAGCAACAGAAUGUGGGAAGGCAGGGCCUUCCACCAACUUUCAGAGUGUGGUUGGCAGAAUUAGGAAAUUUUAGGACAAGACAGUGUGGAGCAUGGCUUGGACUAAAUGUGAUAAAUUAGGCAAAAGCUGUCAAAUGUAAUUCAGAACGACCAGUCUAAUGAAUAUGUAGUAUAAUAUGGGUGGAUUUCUUAUUCUGUUCAUUUUGAAUACAUUGCUGCUCAGGGAAAGUGUGUUUCUAGAGCCACCCGCGUGGGGAGAAAGCACUUUACUGUUUACUUCUCAAGGGCUGCUGUGAAGAUUGAAUCAAAAAAAUUAUAUAAAAGUGUUUGGUAAACUGUAAAUACCACAUGAAUCUCUUUUAUUAUUGCUACGAUUAUUGCUUCCCUGGCCUGAUCGCUCUCCCCUCUCUUCUCACAAUCUCUAUGUUCCACCAGUUUCCUUCAAGUGUCAGUGCCCCAAACAUAUGCGUGGAUUCUUAGGGCUCACUGUCCCACAUGACCAGGGUAACCUGCCCACACCCAGACCUGUCUACUUUCCAGAUUCUGAGGUCCUUGAGAAUAGAGAUGAUGCCAGACUCAUUUUAUCCCUCAGUCCCGAGAACAAUGCCUGGCACACAGUGGGAGCUCAGUAAAUGUUUGCGGAUAGAUAAUACUCUAAGAUGAUGGGAAAAUAGUUCUUGUGUGAUUUCGUCUGGAUCAUUUGGUUGCACGGCCUUCUCAAGGAAGGUAAAUUUAGUUCCCAAAACACCAGUCCCCUUCGUUAUUCCUAGGAAAGCAAGUCCAUAAAUAGUUCUUGCUACUCUACAAAUCUUGAAAAAAAUGCCCCAUUUCCUUCUGGAAACUGCAAUAUUCCUGCUCUGAUGUAACUUCUAAAGCACCCUUAACAUCACAUUGAAGGAGGCAGCUCUUUGCAGUGAAAAAAGCCCCAACGAGAUAUCCAAGGAUGUGGGCUGAAAUCCACAUGGUCUUGUCUAAAGCUUGCCUUCUUGGAAGCCUCAGUUUCCUCUUGUGUAAUGUGAAGAUGAUAAUCCUGUCCUGCCCUCCCAUUGGGGCUGUUUCUAAGAUCACUAGGAUAAUGCAGGCCUCUACCAAAGUCCCACACGCUUAUGCUUCCUCUUCUUAGGACAAUCUUUUUAGGUGGAGACUUGGUAGACAUAAAAGACAUUUAUUGAUAAACAUUGGUAAAGGGUCACAAAUGAAAGGGAAAUACUAGGAAAAUGUGGAGCAACAGCACUCACUGGGGGCAGAUCAUUGGUAGUUGUUACCGGGUGGAUUAUGCUACGAUGGGCAAAUGGGACCAUGUGGUGGGAAGAAUGAAGGCACAAAGCAUAGAGGAGGUGAUUCUGGGGCCUACCCUCCCUACCCCUCCUUUCCUCCUCUUACAACCGAGAAGCUUGGUCCCAGGAUCCCAUCCUCUCCCAUCUCCUCAGGACCUUGCAUCAUGCUGGUCGCAUCCAUAUGCAACAUCUCUCUCAAAACUGGGCCCUUCCCACUGAUAUGCUCAGUCUCUGCCAUCUUAAAAGAUAUCUUCCCUUCAUCCCAUAAGCCCUUGUCUCCAUCUGUUUCUUCCCUUCCACAGCAUCUUGAUAGAGUUGAAUACGCACUAGCUCCAUUUCCUCAUCUUGUAUUGUCGUGUUAGUCUUCCAUUUCUCCACAGAAUCGGCCCUUGGUAAGAACCACAGGGUCCAUGUUUCUAAAUUCAAUAAUGCUUUGCAGUCUUCAUCUUGUGAUGUCACUCCCUCCUCAAAAUGCUGCCUUCCAGCUGGUGUCUGUGACAGCACACUCUCCUGAUUGUCCUCCUGUCUGUGGCUGCUCCCUCUCAGUCUCUGUGGUGGGUUGAAUUAAGCCUCCCAAAUGAUGUGAUCAAAGUCCUAACCCCCGGCACCUGGGAACGUGACCUUAUUUGGAAACAGGGUCUUUGCACAUGUAAUCAAGUUAAGAUGAGGUCAUCAGGGUGGGCCCUAAUCCAAUAACUGGUGUCCUUAUGUAUAAGAAGAUUAGGACACAGAGGGAAGAUGGCCAUGUGAUGACGGAGGCAGACAUUGGAGGCAGAGAAAACGCAUCCACAAAACAAGGAAAUCCUGAGGCUGGCCCCGUGGCCCAGUGGUUAAGUUCGCUCACUCCGCUUCGGCGGCCCAGGGUUUCGUCGGUUCAGAUGCUGGGCGCAGACACGGCACUGCUCAUCAGGCCAUGCUGAGGCGGCGUCCCACGUAGCACAACCAGAGGCACUCAAAGAAGACUGGCAACAGAUGUUAGCUCAGGUGCCAAUCUUUAAAAACAAACAAACAGGUUCUGAGGCCAAGUUCAACCAGAAGCCUUGCUUUCUCAAGACAGUGCAGAAGGAGAAGGGACCUGAGCAGCUGGAGAGAAGACCAAGGUCGGUGUCCACAAGGCUGAGUGUCCUGCCCCAGGCUAGGCUGUAAUGCUCAGAGUCAAGAACAAGCAAUCAGUGGGAGUAAGCAGCUCAGAAGGAAGCCUGUGAACACAACGACAGUGCUGGGGGUCCCCUACCACAGGGUACCUGAUACUCAGCGGGGUGGCUACUUAAGGGCCUUCUGCCAUGGUGGGCAGCCACCCUCCUAUUAAGCAUUCCCCAGCCUCGGCUAGAAACAUCUCCCUCCUCCCUCCUGCCACCAGGACGAACCAUACGACACUGCCGACAGUCCACUCUGUUCGUCCUACAAAAAUGGCAAUUUCAUAUGGUUCAGUGUAAUAGACCAAGAGCUUCUGAUGGCAGAGCCGCUGUUGUUUUCAUCUGUUUCUCCACAAGUCUUGCCAUGUAGUGGAUAAAAUAAAUACGAACCAAAGAAAAACUAACAAACAAACAAAAAACAAGGAAUGCCAAGGAUUGCCAGAAGUCAUCAGAAGCUUAGGAAGAGGCAAGGAGGGACCUUCCCACAGAGCCUGCAGAAAAAGUAUGCCCUCGCUGACACCUUGAUUUCAGACUUCUGGCCUCCAAAACUAUGAGAGAAUAAAUUUCUCUUGUUUUAAGUCAUUAAGCUGUGGUACUUUGCUAUGGCAGACUGAGAAACUGAUGACGCCUCCUCUCAGGCUCAUCCUAUGUUAACCGUAGGUUGUCCUAAACACUUAGUUCUAGACUUCUCUUCAUCUUUUGACGUAUCCUCCUCCCUAGGAGACCUCCUCCACAUCUAUGCUUCAGCCACGGCUUCUCCACCUGUAAAUCCUCCCCGGCUUUCCGAGCUGAGCUCAGACCUGACUCCUGCGGGGAAGCCAUGUGCAGCGGAUGCUGUCAGUGCCCUCCCACAUCCCCGGCGCUCCUCACGCCUCCAUCAGCUUCCCACUGCGGCUGCUGUCUCCCACGUGCUCUCUCUGGCUGCAAGAGUGAGUGGGGCAGAGCAGUGGAGAAUGAAUGCUCCAGGAGCCACCCUCCAGCAAUGAUGGAUGGGAGUUGGAGAAUACACAACUCAGCUUCCUCACCCCCUCAGUGACCUAGAGCAUCUUCCAGAGGCCCCAGCAGACUAAACCUCACUUGCCCACAGGAUCACGUGCUCAUCAACUUGCACCAUAUUGGCUUUUGUCUCUGUCUCAUGUCUCCCCUCUCCUACCACACUUCCUGAGGUCAUCUCCCAAAAAGACUGCUAGCCCUCAAAUCCUUAUCUCAGGGGAAAUCUAACCGAGACACUGAGUCUGAAUCACCAGCCUGGCACGGAUUCUCCAGGCAAACAUCUUACCUGACUUCACCUGAGCAACAGCCUGAUCCAAGCUUAGUCCUUAGAAGUUGACCAGAUGGCAAAUUGAAGACAAAGCUUGACAAGAAUUUGAAGGGAGGAACGUGACAGUGCUGUGGAGAGACGGGGGAAAGUCAGCCUGGCCUAGACUUCUUCACACCAGUUUGGUGGGCGGGAACAGCCAGCCUCCGCGAUGUGACUCAUUUUGUGCGACACAGAAAUCAUCCUUGCAGCCUCGUAGCUGACCUUGUGUCCCUCUAGUCUUUCAGGGAAACGCCGUCUCUAACGCACACCAGUAAAUCCGAGCCAGGCUGAACUCUGCCUAGACUACCUCAGGUCGGAGAAAUCAAGCCUGGACACACUCUCCCGGAGAAAUAUUGGAUCAUGACAAGUCUCAGUAGAAGGUUUGGAUUCAGCCAAGAGAAAAUACAUGUUUUUCAGAUUUGGAGAUUUGGAGAUAGGCUCAUUUAUGAUAGAAUUGGCAUUACCGUCACCCUACCGAUCACUGGUAGGGGAAAGUGUCAGCAAGGAUGAGUGACCAGUCCAAGGACAUGGAAGUGAGGAGUGGCGUCAGGGGCUGGCACCCGGAUCUUCCAGGCCCCAGCUCAGCGUUCUUCUGGCUCAGCCCCUCUGUCUUCACUGGAGACCCGUAGGGGCAUCAAGAGGAUGCCGUCGUCCCAUGACGCCAAGCAAAGCCCGCCGCCCACCUCACAGAGAGCACCAGGUUGUCUCCAAAUCCUUUCCUUUCGCCAUUAACUGUGAAACACCCAGCACAGGAGAUGAAGGUGAAAAGACCAGUAAAUGAAUGCAUUUCUGCAUCCUGAUGAGAAUUAUGAGCAAGAAAAUGCAGCCCACUGAGAAGCAGAUCCGCAUUGCAAACCAGUGGCUGCGAUUCCUGACUUGAUUUAUUGCCCUGAUGCACUGGCUCUCCCUGGCGGGAGCGUCCUCGCCCCUGCCCGGGACCGCAGAGCCUCUCCUCCGCGCUGCCAUCCAUUAUCCCCUCCACUCAACAGCUGCUUCCUGCUUGCACUCCGUGCAAUUUACUAUAUUUGACACCACAAAAUCAAGAGACUGGCUGCCACAGACUUAAUAGCUCCAUGAAUUGGACAGGUAGACCCGAGCCACAGGGCACCAUGGUCCUCUCGGCUUCUCCCUGCUGCCAGCUCCACGGCCGACAUCGCCACUGGAGGCUCAGUGCGGGGGGAGUCACGAAGCCUGAGAGCCCUGUGCUCUGAGCAUCGGGCUCCAACUGGAAAACAGGCUGCUGCCUUCCUUUCCUUCCAGGCAAUAACGUAGCAGGAACUGAAGGAUUCUUAAAAGGAAAAUGAACAGCAGAAAGAUUGGUGCCAUUGCUAUUUCCAGCAGACCGAACAGCCUACAGAGAAUCGUCAAGAUGGGCAAACUAACAUGGACAAAAUGUUGAGUUUUCCACAUCAACAGUAAAGUUCCCCUUAUAAAUGAAAGCAAGACUCAUUAUCUUGUAGCUAGAACUUUAGAUUUCAUAGAGGUUUUCCCAUUUUUUUAAAUUAUACUUUCCACAGUUUUUACCCACGGGGUAACUAACUGACUAAUGUACUUCUCAUCUUAUUUCCGGCCGAAUUAGCAGACAGAGUGAUUACCUGCUACCAGACACACAGUAAGUCAGUGGGAAAAUCUAAAUUAGAACUCAAUGCCUUUUGAGUUCUCAACUUCCUUUUCUCUGUUGAGCCACACAGAUAAGAAUAUUCAAUAGACCAGGAAAUGUGCGUGGCCUCACUGCAAAUUCUACAAUUUUAUAAAUCUUUCAGGAAAUUUUUGAAACAUCAUAAACCAUAAAGUCAUAUUUUGAGUAGUUUGUCACCAGAUCUUCCAGGUGAGAUAUUUUCUGCACUUUCUUCUGGCCUAUUUGUUAUAUUUUAUGAGCCAAAGUUAUUAUUUUGGUACUUUGGGAAACAAUUAUUAAUUUGUAUUUUCCUAAAAACUAGAUUUACAGCAUGUGCAAUAGGUAUGGCUUUGGGAUUGUACACCUUUUGUCUUUGGAUGGGACCUGUCAAAAAUCAAACCCUAACCCUGCCUAGCUGACAAAUAAAUGUUAUAGCUGUCUAAAGGUUUAAAGCAAUACAGAUUGUCUGAGCCAAUAAGUUGAUUUGGUGAGAGCGGGAUGCUAAUGAGUCUUUGAUCCGUGCAGAGGCCAGUGAGUUCUAGCACAGUCUCAGCCUGCACCCCUCACCCCGCCAGCUGUCUUGCAAAUGCCUGCCAUUGGUCACAGGGGGGACCAGGCAAGCUGGGAGUAGGGAUGGAGCGGUGCAAAUCCAUCAUCUCUCCAAACGCAUCACUCAAGUGUCUGUCCUCUGCAAGACAGGCCAGCAGCAGGCUCUUCCUGCACAGGGAUGGGCAUGCUCCAAUCAAAGGGGUUCCUCAGCAAUAGCACUGCUGUCUUCCAAGGGAGAUUUUCUUGUUUUUGUGCUGAAAAUAAAUGUAGUUUCGUAUUUACUUCACGACUUGGGCUUUUGAAAGGUAUUGCAUAUGGUAAUUUGGGGGUGGGGACAAGUGAGCUUCCAGUCCUCAGGAGAACUUGCUGGGACUUAGAGACUGACCAUCAGGGUGAGUGAUGUCUGGCCUGUGAUGGCAGUGUGAAGCAGCUGGGCCCCAGCAGGGAGGCUGAAACAACCCGCGGCAGCUGGACAAAUGCGCGAGGUCAGGCAGUGUUUGUGGACACUGACUUCUCCCUAAGCGUCCCCGCACGGUGGGAGACAUCCAAGGUCGUCACCCAGGAGUAACACCCCAGGGCUUUUCUGUGUAUAAACCUCUCCCAAGAUGCUGACCCCGGAGGGACAGGCCCUCUGUUGGCUCCAAGCACUUCUAAGAUGGAGUCCUGUUUCUCCGGCUAAUUCUAUUUCUGGAAUAGGUUAUUUGAUGGAGGAGGAAAUAACCCACAUGACCAUUGUAUUGAGAAGGUAAAAUUAAAAGUAAUUGUCCUUUCCUAGCCACUUUCUUUUUCUUUUUGGGGAGGAUUGGCCCUGAGCUAACAUCUGUGCCCAUUUUCCUCUAUUUUAUAUGUGGGAUGCUGCCACAGCAUGGCUUGUGGGUAGGUCCACGCCUGGG
ensembl:lncRNA